GUUAGGAAUAUUGGACAAUGGGCGCAAGCCUGAUCCUGCCAUGCCGCGUGAGUGAUGAAGGCCUUCGGGUUGUAAAGCUCUUUAGUCCACGAAUAUAAUGACUGUAGUGGAAGAAUAAGCCCCAGCUAACUUCGUGCCAGCAGCCGCGGUAAUACGAAGGGGGCGAGCGUUAUUCGGAAUCACUGGGCGUAAAGCGUGCGUAGGCUGUUUUGUAAGUCAGAAGUGAAAGCCCAGGGCUUAACCCUGGAAUUGCUUUUGAAACUACAAGACUCGAAUUCGGGAGAGGAUAGCGGAAUUGUCAGUGUAGCAGUGAAAUGCGUAGAUAUUGACAGGAACACCAGUGGCGCAAGCGGCUAUCUGGACCGAUAUUGACGCUGAGGCACGAAAGCGUGGGGAGCAAACAGGAUUAGAAACCCCUGUAGUCC
rnacentral:rRNA from 1 species